AGCUUGUCCCCGAGCGGGCAUUCCAUUGGCCGUUUGAAGUGCCCCCUCUGCGCUGUGAUUGGCUGAGGGGGCUCGGCGCGUUCAAACGGAGCGUGUGAAGGGAAGGGCAGCAGUGACGAGCGCUGGCUCUCCAGGGGGCGGUGCUUCGUAAGGGGCGGUGCUUCCCCCAGCGUGCCUGGUGCAUGGCGUUCCCAGCGUACAACAACGCUUCGCUCUAGCCGGAGCAUCCCUGAGGGACAGCGAGGCCCGGAGGGCCCUGGGGUACGGCCCUUCCCAGCAUGCAAUGCUCCCCGAGCCACAGCAUGGCCUUUCCCAGCAUGCAAUGCUCCAUCCUAGCUGGAGUACUCCAGGGGUAUGGUCUUUCCCAGCAUGCAAUGCUCCACCCUCCCCAGAGCAUCCCUGCCCAGCAGGGCAUUCCACUCCACCCACUGUCCCUGGGGUAUAGCCCUUCCCAGCAUGCAAUGCACCACCCUAGCCAAAGUGCCCUAGGGGUGCAGUCCUUCCCAGCAUGCACUGCUCCCCCUAGCCAGAACAUGGCCCUUCCCAGCAAGCAUUGGUUCCCCCUAGCCAGAGUGCCCCAGGGGUACAGGCCUUUCCCAGCAUGCAAUGCUCCACCCUCCCCAGAGCAUAUCCCUGAGGGGCAGCAUUCCAGCCUACUCAGUGUCCCCGGGGGUACGGCCCUUCCCAGCAUGCAAUGCUCCCCCGCACCAGCAUCCCAAGGGCUUGGCCCUCGUGCUGCACGGCGCCCAGAGCAUCAAAUGCACGCGCUGCCUCCCAGCCUGGACCGUUUCAUCGCUCCGCAAGUGCCCUGAGAGGACGACAUCUCUCAGUCCGCCAUGUUCGGCCCCUCCUGGGAGGCAGAGCUCCACCCUGCCCCAAGCACCGAGGAGGGGUGGCGGGCGCCCCCCUGCAGCCGUCUGCCCACCAGCCUGCCAUGCUUCAGCUUGCCCUGAGCCCAGCAAGCAUCACCCCCCUGGCUCUGAAUCCUUCAGGAGAUGACGGAGUCUCCGAGCACGCGCCGCUCCGUGUGGUCACUACCGAGCAGAAAUUCCCACCAGGGCUCCAUCCUAAAUCUCCGAUGGGACUGUCCCAAUCCAAGCCAUGUCGGAAAGAUGAGGUCCCUGCACGCAGCGCAGGGCCGUGAUUCAUUUGCCUCUCAGCAAAGAAUACGAUGGUUUGCUUUGAACCCAACUACCCCCAGGCAGAUCGGUGCGUCUCAGCGUGCAAUGCUCAGUGGUGACUGAGGGUGACAGAAAUGGCUUGGAGAGAAAUCACUGCACCUGGAGUCUCCUCAACUUCUCCUUCCAAAACAGCAAAAAACAACCCAACUUGAGAAAAGACAGAUUUCUACGCGGUUACGAGGGAACGGCAGCGCUCGGAACAAAGGGAUUCCCACAUGGCAUCACAGCAGCAGUCCCAGGUCUUGUCUGUGACAAUGAGCAACACGAUUUAUUUCAGAGAAGGGUGUGGGAUAUAAGUCACCGUUGGGCUUUCUCUUAAAGCACCAGGGUUUCUUUCUUUCUCAUCCUUAUGAAACUUUUUUUGUCUUUCAAAGUACCAUGGCAUCUUUGUGAGAAAGAGGAUGGAUCGUGACAACUGAAAUCUGGUAGGAUUGCUACUUCUUGUUUAAAAAGGUCCUUUGCCUCCAAAAGAACAAGCCUCACAGCUGACAGAAGAAGGUGCCAUCUUUCAGCACAUCAUUAAAAGAUUUCUGACACAGAACCCUGGCACUUAGCCUAAUUUGCUGCUCAGCUUUUUGCGGCCUGAUCCUAUGAGCAGAUGAGUGCCUGCUGGGUAAGGAGGGCUCCCGCUGUGCUGGAUGGCUGCUGGCUCUUCCCAGUUUGUGCUGUUUUUUCCAAGGGGAAUUUUUCAGAAGGGACUGUACCCUACCUCCCUACCUUCCCCAUGCAAGGGGCUCUAGUUAUAGAGGGAAUACGUAUCCCCAUCCAUCCAAGGUUACCUUAACACGAGUCCAUAAUUUGAUCAGGCUGGGGAUCUGAUAAAGAAAUCUCCAUGUUUGGACCAGCUGGUGAAUGUUGAAAUCCUAUCCCAAACCUUGCACCACACUGAGAUCACCUACAGUCUCUGAGAAAGAAGCGUGACCCCAAGGCUCCCAUAGCCUUUUGUGGCUGGGAGUGCAGGAGGCAUCUGGAUGGAUAUCUGGUGCAGUAACUUUGGCAAGGAGGACACCUAGUCAUGUCAGCUAAGUUACCGAAUGCAGUUAGCAUGCAGAGCCACGAUGCAGCUUUCCAGCUGAACAGCUGUCCCUCAAAACAAAUAGGCUGAUCAUUCAUUGCAUUCACAGAGCUAAAGCACUGCUGCAACUUGGUUUUCUCUCUGUGUGGUGCCUUUACAUUUCUGAAGCAUUUUGCCUGUCUCGAAGGGCAGCGGCGAGGUGGGAUUUGAGAUCAGCUCAGAUAACGUGUAAUAUGGACUGAAUUGCUGGUGUUUUCUCUCCCUCGCUUGCACUUGGUUGCUAGCUGUUGCUUUUCUUAAUCUGAAAUAAAAACCAACCAAAUGGAGAAAAAACAGGCGGUGCUGUGUGUGGAGACGGGGGAAAACCAGUGGCCCAGAGCUUCAGUUCAUGCAAACCAAAUGAAACUUCGUUUCUGAGGACCUGCCUGAAAACUUGCAGACUGCACAGAGCAGAAGGAAGUACACUGAGGGCCAGAAUCUCUGACUUGAAGAGCCUGUUGGCUUGCUUUUCACUCUCUAGAAGAUACUGGUAAUCUGAGUUUAGACGCCAGUCUGGGGGUAUACAAGUCUCGGGAAGAAUUCAAGUGGCGCUUGUCUGCCAGCAAAACAGACAGACACUUGCACACUGUCAAAUCCCCACCCGUAGCACUUACAAACUACAAUUUUGUAGAAAUGAAGAAAAAAAGAUGUCUUACGAGGGGCCUGGUGCAAAUAUGAUAAGGUUAUCUUGUGUCAACGGCUCAAACAACCCCUGCGAGAGGAAACAGAAGAACAAAAAACAAGCAAAACCUGAUAUGCAGCAGGGGGAAUUGUGUGGAGGAAAUCCGUCAAAACGGCACUCUUUCCUUCUCCUUGUACUAGUUCAGCCACACGGCAGCCUGCCUGUUUCUUCAUUCCUACUGUCAACAUAUUUGGAAACGACUAGUGAAACUGGAGGCAAACAUUUUUGGGUGUUUUGAGCUGCACUCAAUCCAACUUUUGGGGGUCAGACAGACUGAAGUUGCAGGGGAAGUAGGAUACUCAGCACCUCUGAAAAUCAGGUUCAAGGUAUCUCAAGCAAAGCAUCCAGACUUCCUAGCCAGCUCUGAAGUUUUUGUCCCAAACAUAACAUCUGAUAUCCCUUGGGCAAUGCAUGCAUCAUCUCCCAUGUACCGUGAGGAACAGGCGCCGCACUGCAAUCCAGCCGUUUCUGUCUUAUGCCACCUGUGCCUUACAGCUUGCUACAGGAGGUAUCUGUGAAGAAAGAGGAGCUGCUUUCUGGAACUCUUUCCCAAACUCAGCGAUACCACUUCUCCAGUGUUAUGCAGGAAAAAAAAAGCUGAACUGAAAUACAGCUCAUGGGAACAUGAAUUUUGAAAUCCUAAUACGGAAAUCAAACCUGCUUAGCUGAAGUUGGCAUCGACCAAUUUUGCAUGAUAAAAGUAGAGGUGGACGAAGCUCUGGUUUUAACUUGGGAUUGAGAAGCAGGGAUUCCUCCCUUCUGAUCCUUUCUUCAGCUCUGGCUGUGCGUGCUCUCUUAACAUUUGUGCUGCAGUUUGCUCCCUUAUGUCAACUGAAAAUACCUAUGUUGCAAUGAAUUAAGUAGUGGGCAUAUGUAGCAUUGCUCUCAUCUGCCUGGGUUCAGAAAUAAGCUGCAAGACGGCCCUACAAGAAGAGCUAAGUAGGAUUAUGAUUUUGCAGAUGAAUGGUUUAAUUUCCACAAAACAUGCACUCGGAGGUACAUCACAACUCCUGGAUUUGAUGAAUAGCUUUUGCCCCACCAAAUCAUUUGAAGAAGUUGAAGUAGUUUUCAAGACGCAACGUUUUCAACUUGCUGUUUUGAAAUGAGGUUUCAUUUCAAAACUUGCCUAAAUGGAACAAUGAGAAAAGGUUAAAAAAAUCAUAAGCCCCUAGAAACAGCACAAAAUAUUUUGUUUUGAGUUGAAAGAAAUGUUCCAGGUCAACACAAAGUGAAUUUGCUUGUCUCCGUCAGUGAACCAAAAAUCAAUGCCUCUCACAACUCGGCAACAAAGGCAAAAUUCUCGUUUAGCUCAAGGCGCUCUGGAGCAGGAGGUUACACGUUCUAGUCCUGAUCUACAAGGUAGUUCCCGCUUGUACAGCUCGGUGACAGCUAGGAAGUCUUGCUAUGCAGAUGGUCUCAGGAUUGCUAUAAAACUUUGCCAUGUCUACAAAGCCCUUGGAAGGCCAAGCUUUUAUCCUCUGCACAAACAGCUGGCAGUGACAAAGAAAUGGCAAAGAAUUCACCGACGUCGCCACAUUGGACAGCAGGAGUGAUACCCCGGGGAAGGAUUCGAGAACUAGUCACUAAAACAGUCUUGCAAGUGGUGAGUCCAUUCCUCCUGUUCUCACUUGCUGAUGAUCUGUGCAAUACGCUGUCAGCACAAAUCCUUCAUCUGCCUUAGCCAAUCUUUGCAUGCAGCCCUCUUCUAAGGAACGGUCAUUUUGAGGACGUUGUGAAAGAAGCAGAUGUGGAUUUCAUACUCGGCCCGAUCGUCUUCCAUCAUAUCAAUGUGCCCUUCUUUCACCGACUUCUAAGAGUAGGACUUCAAGGCAGGACAGCAAGUCACAUAUAACUCUGUUAACUGCCAGGAAGAAUGUCAGUCCUCAAGUGGGAACGUGAAGGAAAAAUAUUCUCCUUUCAUUGUCCACAGACUGGAAAAAAUCCCGUCAGUUCUGCUCCGUGUUUUGGCUGAAGAUGAAAAACGGUGACGCGUUUUCACUACCUGCCUCACAGGGCUUACGGUUUAUGUCUGCCCCACAAGCUGUGAUCUCUUCCAAAUAAAUGCACACUCCGAACUAUCA